UACUACAAGAUUGAGGUGAAGAUUCUGGGAAA
rnacentral:piRNA from 1 species